rnacentral:lncRNA from 1 species
CCCCGGGGAACGCUCCUCCCGCCGGCGGCCGCCACACGGAGGCGCUCGCUGGGGUAGGGGGGAUAGAGAAGGGACAACGCCGGGGCCGGCGGGAGGUGCUGAGAGACCGGAGGCGACGCCACUUCCUGCCGCGCAUGCGCCCGGCCCGUGCCGGGGCUUUCCCGGUGGGGCAUUUCCCGGGCUGGGCGGUGCCGACUGGGGGUAAUUCUUGCCCUCCCGCGCCCCUUGCUAGCACUCUAUAUAGGCUGGGGCGCGCACCGGGGCCCCCUGCUGUGAGAGGCUCGGCAGCAGAUCGUUUUGUUCUGCCCGAAAGAAUUCAAUGAUUGAAACUAUAGAUACUUACAGUUUCUUGUUGUGAACACUCAGCAUAAAUAUGGAGGUGUAGGCACCCAAAAGGGACAUCAGUCUGAACUCUGGGAGGUAGUUCUGUGCACAAAUAACGAAAAAAAGGCUUCAAAUUUUAUUUGUUUUUUAAUCUGAGGAUUCUGUUUGCUUCUGUAUGCCAUAAGCAUGGCAUACAGAAGUAACUUAAUUCAGUGGCAUAAAGCAUUAGAAUGUCCUGACACAAAGCAAUUAAUUUAUCUUAAAUUUGAUAACUCUAUACUUGUAACUAAGGCACCGGGUUAAAACUGAAAUGCUUUGCUCUCUGUGCUGACAGUGUUACAGACAGAAAAGCCUGGGAUUACUCCAGGCUUGUUAAUGGAGAGUUCAUGGGUCAGAGGCAGUGUAGAGGAUUUGUUUAUCUUGUAGCUGAAUAGUCAAGAUACCUGAAGUUGAAUAUAAACUAACUUCUUUAACGUCAGCAACUAUUACAACAAUACACGGAAGUUGAGGGUUGGGGGGUUUUUGGUGGGUUUUUUUUUGUGUUUUUUUUUUUUAUUUUUUUAUUUUUUUUUUUUUAUUUUUUAUUUGAAGUCUGGUAGUAGCAAAUACUCCAAGUAAGUUUGGUAAUGUCAGUUCAGGGGCUCUUUUUUUCAUCUGCCAUUUGAGCUUGGUAAGCCAUUAUUCUCAGCCUCCUAAUGAGGUAUACAAACUGAAAUCUUUACAUAUGUAAGCUGUCUGGGGUGAAAUAGUUCUUAAAUCACUUAACUCAUGUUUUAGUUAAAAAUAGUGUAGUUUUAGUUGCCCCUCAUUUUACUUUCUUUAUUGACAAAGGAUUUUGGUAAACCCAUUUGAGGUUUUUCCCCUCUGGAUCCCACCUCCACUAGCCUGACAAAUUGAUACUGCUUUCCCAGAUAUACAGUACAAGGAAAGCAUGUUAUGAAUAGAUGUUACAAGGGAAAGCCCUUUUUGACAUGCUUUCUUCAAUUCCCAAAAUGGGAUAGGGCAGCUUCUGCACAGGCCGCAGUUGUAUAAACUAAAAUACAAAAACUUCCAGAUGUUUAAAGGCUAUUAAUCAUGGGACUCAUUCUGUUCACAUGUGCAUUCAAAGUUGCACAUUAAAAUGUUUAAUUUUCAAGCUUUUUUUUUUGUACAGAUAGGGUUAUUCCAAAUUGCUUUUAGUGCACACAACUACCUCCCAGAGGAAGACUUGUCCCAU